rnacentral:sRNA from 1 species
GCUGGGUAUGGUGGAGUAUGCCUGUAAUCCUAUUGGCACAGGAGGCUGAGGCAGGAGGAUUGCAAGUUCAAAGCCAGCCUCAG